AAUUGUUCGCAAUGGGCGCAAGCCUGACGACGCAACGCCGCGUGGAGGAUGAAGAUCUUCGGGUCGUAAACUCCUUUCGAUCGAGACGAACGGCCUCCGGGUGAACAAUCCGGGGGAGUGACGGUACCUGCAGAAGAAGCACCGGCUAACUACGUGCCAGCAGCCGCGGUAAUACGUAGGGCGCAAGCGUUAUCCGGAAUUAUUGGGCGUAAAGAGCUCGUAGGCGGUUCAGUAAGUCGGGUGUGAAAACUCUGGGCUCAACCCAGAGACGCCACCCGAUACUGCUGUGACUUGAGUACGGUAGGGGAGUGGGGAAUUCCUGGUGUAGCGGUGAAAUGCGCAGAUAUCAGGAGGAACACCAGUGGCGAAGGCGCCACUCUGGGCCGUAACUGACGCUGAGGAGCGAAAGCGUGGGUAGCGAAC
rnacentral:rRNA from 1 species